CUGGUUAAAUGGGUCAGAGCAGUCGCUAUAAUAAGUGUGCCUCGAGCCAGCAGGAGCUACCCGGCUCCUAUAAAAGCGGGUGGAGGAGAAAAAGCGGGUGGGAGCGGAGCACCCGAGGAGCAGCGCGAGGACUCUGCGCGCCUGGAGCCCGUUCCCCUGCCCGAGCUGCCCGCAGUCGGGCUGCGGCUCUGUGCCCAGCCCUCGAGCAGGAAUUCAUUGAAUGGCAGCAGCGUGGGGGACGGGGGCUGCCCGGAGCUGCCGCUGAUGGGAGCCCAAAUCACCCAUUUCUGUCGAAAAAGGUGAAAUUUGGCAGCACGACAUUAACUUAUUUUGGAUUAGGAUCUCCAUGGCACAUGAACUAGAAAAUAACCCAAACUAGAAGGUCUCGUUAUUUUGACGUGACAGACAUUAUCAAAAUGGUUGGAAAACUCAAACAGAACUUGCUAUUGGCAUGUCUGGUGAUCAGUUCGGUGACAGUGUUUUAUUUGGGCCAACACGCGAUGGAGUGUCACCAUCGAAUAGAGGAACGCAGCCAGCCUGUGAGGAUGGAAAGCGUGAGAAGCACAGUAAGAACUGGUUCCAAUGUAAAUGCCAAUAAAACCUUUGCUUACAACAAAGACAUGCCUUUAAUAUUUAUUGGAGGAGUACCUCGAAGUGGCACUACUUUAAUGCGUGCCAUGCUUGAUGCCCAUCCAGAUAUUCGGUGCGGAGAAGAGACGAGGGUAAUCCCACGAAUUCUGGCAGUUAAGCAGAUGUGGGCUAGGUCAAGCAAGGAGAAGAUCCGGCUGGAUGAAGCUGGAGUCACAGAUGAGGUUCUGGACUCGGCCAUGCAAGCAUUUCUAUUGGAAAUCAUUGUGAAACAUGGAGAGCCUGCACCGUAUUUGUGUAACAAAGAUCCUUUUGCUUUAAAAUCCUUAACUUAUCUUGCUAGAAUUUUCCCCAAUGCCAAAUUUCUUCUAAUGGUACGGGACGGUCGUGCAUCUGUACAUUCCAUGAUAUCUAGAAAAGUCACAAUAGCUGGCUUUGACCUGAACAGCUACAGGGACUGUUUGACCAAGUGGAACCGUGCUAUAGAAACUAUGUAUAACCAGUGCAUGGAGGUUGGUUUUGAGAGGUGUAUGCUGGUACAUUAUGAACAGCUUGUAUUGCAUCCUGAAAGAUGGAUGAGAACUCUCUUAAAGUUUCUUCGCAUCCCGUGGAACCAAGCAGUGCUGCACCACGAAGAAAUGAUCGGAAAAGCAGGCGGUGUUUCUCUUUCCAAAGUUGAAAGAUCUACUGAUCAAGUAAUCAAGCCAGUCAAUGUGGAAGCGCUGUCGAAGUGGGUUGGGAAGAUACCUGCUGAUGUGCUGCAAGAUAUGCCAGUGAUCGCGCCCAUGCUGGCCAAACUGGGCUACGAUCCCUAUGCCAAUCCACCAAAUUACGGGAAGCCAGAUCAAAAAGUUGUGGAAAACACAAGGAGGGUCUACAAAGGUGAAUUUCAGCUUCCUGACUUUCUCAAAGAAGUGCCACAGCCAAAGAAGACAGUAGAAAGGAAGUCUCGUGGCAAGAUAAAAUGAACAUGGAUCAGUAAAGUUGAAUAGCUGUAGUACUGAGCCUAUGGAAUAGAAGACAAAAUGGAUCUUUCUUGCACAGAAGAAAAAGACUGCUGCCUUUUCAAUGGAAGUGAUGUUAUAAGGACUGUCCCACUGCCAUCAGUGAGAUGUACAGCUCAUGGCCCGCUUUUUUCAGAAUUUUCUCCCCCAUUUCUUUCAUGCUCUUUUCUUUUUGGUCAAGAUUUUGUUGUUGUGAGCGCAUGUAAACCUGUUUUAAAAAGGGGGGUGGGGGUUCGGGAGAAGAAAAAUCACUGAUGUUAUUGUAGAACUGUAUUACACUUACACAACUAUUUUUAAGGUUUCAAAAACUGCUACACAAUGCCUGUCUCUGAAAUUGCUAUUCUGUCUUCUUAAUUCCAAACCUCAGUCUUCAAAGGCCUUUUUUUUCCCCUUUAGCAGUUUGGUUUUAAAUGUAUGAAACUUUCAGAAGUGGUCUGUGCUUGUCCUAAGGAUUUUUGGUGGAACAGUUAUUUGUCUUAUUGACGUGGAAAUUGUUAAAUAUCUUUUUAUUUAAAAAAAAAAAAAAAAGUUGAUAAAUUACAUGUACAAUUACAAUUCAAUGAUCUUUUGUAUUUUAUUUUUCAAAAUAAAUGCUUUAAAUGUGA